GCCAUGCGAGUCGAGAGGGUUCGGCCCUCGGCAGACGGCUCAGUAACACGUGGAUAAUCUACCCUUAGGUGGAGGAUAACCUCGGGAAACUGAGAAUAAUACUCCAUAGGUCUAGAAUGCUGGAAUGCACCUUGGUUGAAAACUCCGGUGCCUAAGGAUGAGUCUGCGGACUAUCAGGUAGUAGUCAGGGUAAAGACCUGACUAGCCUACGACGGAUAUGGGUUGUGAGAGCAAUAACCCAGAGAUGAUAUCUGAGACACGAUAUCAGGCCCUACGGGGCGCAGCAGGCGCGAAAACUUCACACUGCGCGAAAGCGUGAUGAGGGGAUCCCAAGUGCUUGCACGUAAGUGUAAGCUGUUUUUAUGUUUAAAAAGCAUAGAGAGUAAGAGCUGGGUAAGACGGGUGCCAGCCGCCGCGGUAAUACCUGCAGCUCGAGUGGUGGCCGCUAUUAUUGGGCCUAAAACGUCCGUAGCCGGCCUAGUAAAUGCCUGGGUAAAUCGUGCCGCUCAACGGUACGAAUUCCGGGUAGACUGCUAGGCUUGGGACCGGGAGAAGCUAGAGGUACUCCUGGGGUAGAGGUGAAAUUCUGUAAUCCUAGGGGGACCACCAGUGGCGAAGGCGUCUAGCUAGAACGGGUCUGACGGUGAGGGACGAAGCCCUGGGGCGCAAACCGGAUUAGAUACCCGGGUAGUCCAGGGUGUAAACGCUGCUUGCUUGAUGUUAGUCGGGCUCCGAGCCCGAUUAGUGUCAGAGAGAAGUUGUUAAGCAAGCUGCCUGGGAAGUACGGUCGCAAGACUGAAACUUAA
rnacentral:rRNA from 1 species